AAUGAACGCUGGCGGCGCGCCUAAUACAUGCAAGUCGAGCGAGAAGACGUAGCAAUACGUUUGUAAAGCGGCGAACGGGUGAGGAAUACAUGGGUAACCUACCCUCGAGUGGGGAAUAACUAGCCGAAAGGUUAGCUAAUACCGCGUACGCUCCUUGGACUUCGGUUCAGGGAGGAAAGCGAUACCGUGGGUAUCGCGCUCUUGGUUGGGCUCAUGUCCUAUCAGCUUGUUGGUGAGGAACGGCUCACCAAGGCUUCGACGGGUAGCUGGUCUGAGAGGACGAUCAGCCACACUGGCACUGCGACACGGGCCAGACUCCUACGGGAGGCAGCAGUAAGGAAUAUUGCGCAAUGGGCGAAAAGCCUGACGCAGCGACGCCGCGUGGGGGGAGUGAAGGU
rnacentral:rRNA from 1 species